rnacentral:rRNA from 1 species
UAGGGAAUCUUCCACAAUGGGCGCAAGCCUGAUGGAGCAACACCGCGUGAGUGAAGCAGGGUUUCGGCUCGUAAAGCUCUGUUGUUAAAGAAGAACACGUAUGAGAGUAACUGUUCAUACGUUGACGGUAUUUAACCAGAAAGUCACGGCUAACUACGUGCCAC